GAGAGCACAGUACGAUGAAAGUUGUAAGCUGUGUUCGGGGGGAGUUAUUGUCUAUCGUUGGCUUCUAUGGUAGAUUCAGUCGGGGGACCUGAGAGGCGGUGGUUUACCCUGC
rnacentral:ncRNA from 1 species